CGCGAAUUAUGGAACAAGGCGCAUCCAGCGAUUUUAUCGAAAUCGAAGUUUCUAAUUCGAGAUCUGAUCUCGCGU
rnacentral:tRNA from 1 species